GAGAGGUUUGGGGACUGGCUGCAGAGGUUUUGGGGACUGGCUGCAGAGGUCUGGGGACUGGCUGCAGAGGUUUGGGGACUGGCUGCAGAGGUUUGAGAGGUUUGGGGACUGGCUGCAGAGGUUUUAGAGGUUUGGGGACUGGCUGCAGAGGUUUCAGAGGUUUGGGGACUGGCUGCAGAGGUUUGGGGACUUGCUUGCUUUGU